rnacentral:rRNA from 1 species
GAUGAACGCUGGCGGCGUGCCUAAUACAUGCAAGUCGAGCGAAGCGGGGACGGGUGAGUAACACGUGGAUAACCUCCUAUAAGACUGGGUUAACUUCGGGAAACCGGAGUUAAACCGGAAACUUAUCGAUGGAUCUGCGCUGCAGUAGCUAGUUGGUACGGUAACGGCUUACAAAGGCGACGAUGCAUAGCCGACCUGAGAGGAUGAUCGGCCACACUGGAACUGAGACACGGUCCAGACUCCUACGGGAGGCAGCAGUGGGGAAUCUUCCGCAAUGGGCGAAAGCCUGACGGAGCAACGCCGCGUGAGUGAUGAAGGUCUUCGGGUCGUAAAACUCUGUUAUUAGGGAAGCGGUACCUAAUCAGAAAGCCACGGCUAACUCCGUGCCAGCAGCCGCGGUAAUAC